GGGAGCUGGGGAGGAAACGCUGGAGGUUGAAAUCCGUAAAAACCCUUGAACAGCAAGAUCCUGAGAGCUUCGGAGUUGGUAAGCACAUCCACGUGCCAGGAGGGUGGUGCACCCCAAUUUCAUGGAGACAGAAGUUCUUCUGCUCAGGACCCUUCCUUAACUCUCCCUGUGUACUUCUUAUCUGGCUGUUGAUUUGUAUCCUUUAUGAUCAACUGUCCAUAAAAUAAUGACAUGCCUUAGAAUACAUGGCAUUUUGGAUUUGAUGAAAUACAGCCGUGCUUACCCAGUGCGAGGCACUGUCUAUUUCAAUCUCACAACAACCCUGUGAGGGUUGUUGUGGAUGGACAUUAUGACUUGGCUGGUGUGGGCCCUGGGGCUUUCCAGAGUCACAGCACAUACCUGUCUGGAGCCUAUGAGCUCUAGCACAGGACAGCAUCUUGUUGAUGCAGAUGAGGAAGGGGGG
ensembl:lncRNA